GAUGAAGAACGUAGCGAAAUGCGAUAAGUAGUGUGAAUUGCAGAAUUCAGUGAAUCAUCGAAUCUUUGAACGCACAUUGCGCCCCUCGGUAUUCCGUGGGGCAUGCCUGUUCGAGCGUCAUUUAACCCCUCAAGCCUAGCUUGGUAUUGGGUGCUUGUCCCGCCUCUCGCGCGGCGACUCACCUCAAAGUCAUUGGCAGCCCGCAUCUCGCCGGCCGUGAGCGCAGCACAGACGCGCUCUUGGCAACGACGGAUCGGCUCUCCAAAAGCUUAUUUCAACCACUGACCUCGGAUCAGGUAGGGAUACCCGCUGAACUUAAGCAUAUCAAUAAGCGGGGGA
rnacentral:misc_RNA from 1 species